rnacentral:rRNA from 1 species
AUUGAACGCUGGCGGAAUGCUUUACACAUGCAAGUCGAACGGCAGCACGGACUUCGGUCUGGUGGCGAGUGGCGAACGGGUGAGUAAUGUAUCGGAACGUGCCCAGUCGUGGGGGAUAACGUAGUGAAAAUUACGCUAAUACCGCAUACGAUCGAUGGAUGAAAGCGGGGGAUCGCAAGACCUCGCGCGAUUGGAGCGGCCGAUAUCAGAUGAGGUAGUUGGUGGGGUAAAGGCCCACCAAGCCAACGAUCUGUAGCUGGUCUGAGAGGACGACCAGCCACACUAGAACUGAGACACGGUACAGACUCCUACGGGAGGCAGCAGUGGGGAAUUUUGGACAAUGGGCGAAAGCCUGAUCCAGCCAUUCCGCGUGCAGGAUGAAGGCCCUCGGGUUGUAAACUGCUUUUGUACAGAACGAAACGGCUCUGGUUAAUACCCGGGGCUAAUGACGGUACCGUAAGAAUAAGCACCGGCUAACUACGUGCCAGCCGCCGCCGUAA